rnacentral:lncRNA from 1 species
GUCAAGAAUGAGUAUGAUUAAUCAAAUUAGCCAACUGUAGGUUUGUUAUUGUUGAAUUUAUUUUCCAGUGCACUGGCCACCUGCUUGCUACCAGACUAGUGACAACACUUACGAGGAGAAAAACAUCAGUGUUGCCUUCCAAGUUAAUCAACAACACUCUCAAUAUCAUAACAGUAUACCCAUAAAAACCUCCUUAAUGCAAAAAUUGGAUAACUUGUAAUGAAACUCAACCAGAAGCAUAAUAAAUUCAUGCAAGCUCAAAUUAAACCCAGUGACCAUUUUGGAAUUAACCACAAAAAUCCUAUUUCCCAUCACCACAACCAACGAACUAAACAAGACAAUAAUUUCUUAUUGUAAUAUUUUUGAACAAAAAAACAAGUUAACAAAAGAACACAUAUACGGGGGAUUCAGAAAUUUAGCUUAAUUAUAAAAUCAAAUUUGGUCGAGUUUUGUAGAAAAAAAUCUGAUAGACUGACCUACUCUUCGAGUUCCAUCUCUUAAAACUCGAACUUAGGUAUUUGGAUUUUUGGGGGUGGUCGAACUGCAAGAGAAUGGAGACGGCAACCGAGUCGAUUGAUUUCGCAAGCGUGAAGACUCCCUAAUUUAUGAGA